UGCUGUACUUCUUUCUUCGCGGUGGAAGAUGAAAGGCACAGCAAACAGGCUGUGAUUUCAAUGGCAUAAUGCUGAUAAGCACAGACCAUUGGACCCUAGAAACUUCAUCAAUGUGCUAGGCAUCUGAAAUUUAACAGGAUUUGUCCAGUAUCUUCUGACGUGGAUAUAUCUUAAGCCUUCUGCUCCUCAAUUCUUGCUCUGUUGGGUCUGGUGACAGGCCUGGAGACAGGGAGGUGUGCUGGGAAUGAGCCCUGGGACAAUCAACUUCAGCUUCUGAUGCAGCUGCCCCUCUGAUGCAACAAAACCGCUAACAGUGAGGUGCUAUGAUAAAGGGCAUGAGCUUUGGAGUCAGACUCUCCUGGAUCCAAAUCCAGCUGUAAUAUGACUAGCUGUGUGAAUCAUGUAAAAAAAAAAUCCUCAAGCCUCAAUCUCUCCAUCUUUAAAAUGGGAACAAUAGUACCUGCUUCAGAGGGUGCUUGUGAAGAUAAAUUUGA